rnacentral:misc_RNA from 1 species
AAGGGGCACUUCUACGCAAACUCUUCGAACAGUCGAAUGAUGUUGCGUCAGAGACCGUUUCGGACUCAUCUGAAGGACCGCGGACGCUCAUGGGUGGAACACUGACAAUCUUCAUCGCACCUACGAAAAUCCCAUGUGGUUUUCGGCGGUGAAUAUACCGACACACUAUUGGGUCCUGAAAGAACAGACGUUCUUUCCAGGCAAAAAACGAUCCGCUCGGAUCUCUCGUGAAACCAGCCUCUUCGAGGUCAAGGUCCUUGAAUCCAAUCCGAUGCGGGUGUGUUGUUUGAGAACUGCACAGUGGACGCGAGCAUCUUUGUUAGUAA